CAAACUUCCUAAAAAUGAUUAGUAAGUUUUUUUUAAUCAAAUGGCUGGCAGAAACUUGAAAUUUCUUUAACAUAUUAGUUGUAAGUUCUAUAGAAAGUUCUUUUAGGAAAGAAAAAAUAACCAUUCCAAGAAACUUCUUUUCUGUUUUUCCUGUUAUAGUGAGCUGCAUAGUUCUCCUAAGCAAGGAGAUGGUCUUCAUCCUCCUUACCACUUCCACCCUUGCCUACCCCAGGGACUUUCUGACAAGAGAUGAAAUUGCUUCUUGUGGCUAUGAAGGAACCAAGAAGAUAUCAAUGCCAGUUCUAGCUAUAAUGUUUAGGUCCUGAGAUGGAGAAGGGGAGUUAACAAAAGUGAAGACACUGACCACCUUUUGAUUUUCAGGAGACUGGAGAGAUGACGGAGAAGUAAAGAACAUGUACUACUUAUGAAGAAGACCCAUGUCAGAUUCAAAGAACAAGAUGACUCAUAAUCACUGUUCCAGAGGGAGAAGACUUCAUCAUGGCUAGGACAUAUCAAAGCACGACGAAAAGCUGCAAGAUCACAUCUUGUAACAGAAAUCCAGAGCAGACAGAGAACCAGAAGUAAGCUGCCUCAGGCUCCUGUCACCAUAGCCAGAGCUGCUCUGACUGCCCUGCCUUCCCCUCCUCCAUGAGUCCGGUGUCCUAACUGGCCACUACACACAAAACAUGGAUAAGUUGAUUUAGUCGAAUAUGUUGUCACAGCAAUGAGAAGAAUAACGAAUACCAUCAUCUCCCUGAAACGAGAAGUGCUGGCCACCUCAACAGAUUGC
ensembl:lncRNA